rnacentral:rRNA from 1 species
CUAUGUGUUGUUGGGUAGGGGAGCGUUCUGUAAGCCUGUGAAGGUGGCCUGUGAGGGUUGCUGGAGGUAUCAGAAGUGCGAAUGCUGACAUAAGUAACGAUAAAGCGGGUGAAAAGCCCGCUCGCCGGAAGACCAAGGGUUCCUGUCCAACGUUAAUCGGGGCAGGGUGAGUCGACCCCUAAGGCGAGGCCGAAAGGCGUAGUCGAUGGGAAACGGGUUAAUAUUCCCGUACUUGGUGUUACUGCGAAGGGGGGACGGAGAAGGCUAUGUUGGCCGGGCGACGGUUGUCCCGGUUUAAGCGUGUAGGUGUGUGUUCCAGGUAAAUCCGGUU